GCGAGCUGAUGAACAAAAACAUCAUAUGAGGCGUAGGCUAGAGGUGAGUUGGCACAAGACGACGAAACCACGUGAUCUAAUGGCCACCGUAAAUGAUGAUGCAGUGC
rfam:Colwellia sp. MT41, complete genome.